CCUACGGGCGGCAGCAGUGAGGAAUAUUGGUCAAUGGGCGCGAGCCUGAACCAGCCAAGUCGCGUGAGGGAAGACGGUCCUAUGGAUUGUAAACCUCUUUUGUCGGGGAGCAAAAGACGCCACGUGUGGCGUUCCGAGAGUACCCGAAGAAAAAGCAUCGGCUAACUCCGUGCCAGCAGCCGCGGUAAUACGGAGGAUGCUAGCGUUAUCCGGAUUUAUGGGGUUUAAAGGGUGCGAAGGCGGAAGAUCAAGUCAGCGGUAAAAUUGAGAGGCUCAACCUCUUCGAGCCGUUGAAACUGGUUUUCUUGAGUGGGCGAGACGUAUGCGGAAUGCGUGGUGUAGCGGUGAAAUGCAUAGAGAUCACGCAGAACUCCGAUUGCGAAGGCAGCAUACCGGCGCUCAACUGACGCUCAUGCACGAAAGUGUGGGUAUCGAACAGGAUUAGAUACCCGGGUAGUC
rnacentral:rRNA from 1 species